UAGUGUCGCCACUGGCAUUUCCCGCCAAAUUCCGGCUAUUUACUUUCCAUUGGCUCCGGUCUCCCACGUGACCCUUCUCGAUCAUGAUUGGCUGAGGCUCAUUUAACCGGUGGAUUCGCCCGCGUUCGUUUCUCCGAGGCGCCGACCCGUCUGACCGUUGUGUAGCUCGCGUCUGCCUAUGUGAGCAGGCGGUGAUUUCGUUUCGUGGAUUUCGAAGAUCUUCGAGCCAUGGAUGAACGCCUGAAUGAAAGACACCGACAGCUGUUCGUGGCCCUGCGAUCCGCGAGCAUGUGGCCCCUGUCACCAGAAAAUUCGACAGUUGUGCUGGGAUGAAGCGGAUGGCUUCUGCGACUCAUCACGUGCUAUAGAUAUGUAUAAUAAUAUCUACUUUCUCCAAACCGAAUAGGUUCCCUUAAGGAUUGUAUAAUAUGAUAGUCACGCUUUCUGUUGCUCGGCGCUAUUUAUUAUCUGUUUAUUCUGCAGUAUUCUGUAAUAAUCGUGUAGAUUUACUUGCAUUCAAAUGUUGCUUCUUGUGUAUAUGUUUACCGUGUCAAUAAAUUUGUACAUGUGAA